rnacentral:rRNA from 1 species
UACGUAGGGUGCAAGCGUUAUCCGGAAUUAUUGGGCGUAAAGAGCUCGUAGGCGGUUUGUCGCGUCUGCUGUGAAAACCCGAGGCUCAACCUCGGGCCUGCAGUGGGUACGGGCAGACUAGAGUGCGGUAGGGGAGAAUGGAAUUCCUGGUGUAGCGGUGGAAUGCGCAGAUAUCAGGAGGAACACCGGUGGCGAAGGCGGGUCUCUGGGCCGUAACUGACGCUGAGGAGCGAAAGCGUGGGGAGCGAACAGG